rnacentral:rRNA from 1 species
AACGAACGCUGGCGCCGUGGAUAAGACAUGCAAGUCGAGCGCUAAUUUAAGGGUAGCAAUAUUCUUAAGUUGGAGCGGCGCAAGGGUGCGUAACACGUGGGUAAUUUGCCGUGAAGUUGGGGAUAACUUGCUGAAAGGCGAGCUAAUACCGAAUGUGACGUUUGGAAGGCAUCUUCCGAAUUUCAAAGCUGGGGACCGCAAGGCCUGGCGCUUCACGAUAAGCCCGCGGCCUAUCAGCUAGUUGGUGAGGUAAUGGCUCACCAAGGCUAAGACGGUAGCUGGUCUGAGAGGACGACCAGCCACACUGGAACUGAGACACGGUCCAGACACCUACGGGUGCAGCAGUCGAGAAUUUUUCNCAAUGGGCGAAAG